UGGGGAAUUUUGGACAAUGGGCGAAAGCCUGAUCCAGCAAUGCCGCGUGUGUGAAGAAGGCCUUCGGGUUGUAAAGCACUUUUGUCCGGAAAGAAAUCCUUGGCUCUAAUACAGUCGGGGGAUGACGGUACCGGAAGAAUAAGCACCGGCUAACUACGUGCCAGCAGCCGCGGUAAUACGUAGGGUGCAAGCGUUAAUCGGAAUUACUGGGCGUAAAGCGUGCGCAGGCGGUUUGCUAAGACCGAUGUGAAAUCCCCGGGCUCAACCUGGGAACUGCAUUGGUGACUGGCAGGCUAGAGUAUGGCAGAGGGGGGUAGAAUUCCACGUGUAGCAGUGAAAUGCGUAGAGAUGUGGAGGAAUACCGAUGGCGAGGAGCCCGGCAAUACUGAGCNCUGACGAAAGCGUGGGGAGCAAACAGGAUUNGAUACCCUGGUAGUCACG
rnacentral:rRNA from 1 species